GGGAGAAAGGCAACAACAAUACACGAUACGAACAACAAUAAUGACUCUGAUACUGGCUCUGACUAUUCUGAAGGUGAUGUGAAAAGGAUCAAGCACAAGAGUAAACGAAAGGUCUCCCCUGUGGAGAAAGCAAAGGAGACCAAGUAGAAAGAGAAGAAGCAGAGCAUCUAUCCAGCUGUGGCGG